rnacentral:rRNA from 1 species
UUGUCUCAAAGAUUAAGCCAUGCAUGUCUCAGUACAAGCUAAAUUAAAGUGAAACCGCGAAAGGCUCAUUAAAUCAGUUAUGGUUCCUUAGAUCGUACCUACAAUUACUUGGAUAACUGUGGUAAUUCUAGAGCUAAUACAUGCAAAUAGAGCUCCGACCGGAGACGGAAGGAGUGCUUUUAUUAUAUCAAAACCAAUCGGUGGCGGGCGUUACGGCGCUCGUCAUCGUACAACUUGGUGACUCUGAAUAACUUUACGCUGAUCGCACGGUCUUAGCACCGGCGACGCAUCUUUCAAAUGUCUGACUUAUCAACUGUCGAUGGUAGAUUCUGCGCCUACCAUGGUCGUAACGGGUAACGGGGAAUCAGGGUUCGAUUCCGGAGAGGGAGCCUGAGAAACGGCUACCACAUCCAAGGAAGGCAGCAGGCGCGCAAAUUACCCACUCCCGGCACGGGGAGGUAGUGACGAAAAAUAACGAUACGGGACUCAUCCGAGGCCCCGUAAUCGGAAUGAGUACACUCUAAACUCUUUAACGAGGAUCAAUUGGAGGGCAAGUCUGGUGCCAGCAGCCGCGGUAAUUCCAGCUCCAAUAGCGUAUAUUAAAGUUGUUGCGGUUAAAAAGCUCGUAGUCGAACUUGUGUCUCGCGCCGCCGGUUCAUCGUCCGCGGUGUUAACUGGCGAGUCGCGGGACGUCCUGCCGGUGGGCUUAGUCGCCGUCGUCGCGGCGGCUUCGGUCGUUCGCGCACGUGCGGUUGGCGCGGCCCAACUCUCAAUCCUGCCGCGGUGCUCUUCACUGAGUGUCGAGGUGGGCCGGCACGUUUACUUUGAACAAAUUAGAGUGCUUAAAGCAGGCUAAAACUUCGCCUGAAUAUUGUGUGCAUGGAAUAAUGGAAUAGGACCUCGGUUCUAUUUUGUUGGUUUUCGGAACCCCGAGGUAAUGAUUAAUAGGAACGGAUGGGGGCAUUCGUAUUGCGACGUUAGAGGUGAAAUUCUUGGAUCGUCGCAAGACGGACAGAAGCGAAAGCAUUUGCCAAAAACGCUUUCAUUGAUCAAGAACGAAAGUUAGAGGUUCGAAGGCGAUCAGAUACCGCCCUAGUUCUAACCUUAAACGAUGCCAGCUAGCGAUCCGUCGACGUUCCUCCGAUGACUCGACGGGCAGCUUCCGGGAAACCAAAGCUUUUGGGUUCCGGGGGAAGUAUGGUUGCAAAGCUGAAACUUAAAGGAAUUGACGGAAGGGCACCACCAGGAGUGGAGCCUGCGGCUUAAUUUGACUCAACACGGGAAACCUCACCAGGCCCGGACACCGGAAGGAUUGACAGAUUGAGAGCUCUUUCUUGAUUCGGUGGGUGGUGGUGCAUGGCCGUUCUUAGUUGGUGGAGCGAUUUGUCUGGUUAAUUCCGAUAACGAACGAGACUCUAGCCUGCUAAAUAGGCGUAAUUUUGACAUCCUAAAGGCCCGCCGGCUCGCUCGCGGGGUUUCGGCCUCGUUGGGCGUUGUCGCGCGCGGUUUUUACUGUCGGCGUACCAACAAUUCUUCUUAGAGGGACAGGCGGCUUCUAGCCGCACGAGAUUGAGCAAUAACAGGUCUGUGAUGCCCUUAGAUGUUCUGGGCCGCACGCGCGCUACACUGAAGGAAUCAGCGUGUCCUCCCUGGCCGAGCGGCCCGGGUAACCCGCUGAACCUCCUUCGUGCUAGGGAUUGGGGCUUGCAAUUGUUCCCCAUGAACGAGGAAUUCCCAGUAAGCGCGAGUCAUAAGCUCGCGUUGAUUACGUCCCUGCCCUUUGUACACACCGCCCGUCGCUACUACCGAUUGAAUGAUUUAGUGAGGUCUUCGGACCGACGCGCGAUGGCGUUUCGACGUCGUCGAUGUGUCCGGGAAGAUGACCAAACUUGAUCAUUU